AAAAGCAUUUCAUAGCAAGGGCCGGGCAAGACCGGUGCCAGCCGCCGCGGUAACACCGGCGGCUCGAGUGGUAACCGUUAUUAUUGGGUCUAAAGGGUCUGUAGCCGGCCGGAUAAGUCUCUUGAGAAAUCUGGCAGCUUAACUGUCAGGCUUUCAGGAGAUACUGUCUGGCUCGAGGCCGGGAGAGGUGAGAGGUACUUCAGGGGUAGGGGUGAAAUCUUGUAAUCCUUGAAGGACCACCAGUGGCGAAGGCGUCUCACCAGAACGGACCUGACGGCAAGGGACGAAAGCUAGGGGCACGAACCGGAUUAGAUACCCGGGUAGUCCUAGCCGUAAACGAUACUCGCUAGGUGUCGGCCACGGUGCGACCGUUGUCGGUGCCGUAGGGAAGCCGUGAAGCGAGCCACCUGGGAAGUACGGCCGCAAGGCUGAAACUUAAAGGAAUUGGCGGGGGAGCACUACAACGGGUGGAGCCUGCGGUUUAAUUGGACUCAACGCCGGAAAACUCACCGGGGGCGACAGCAAUAUGUAGGUCA
rnacentral:rRNA from 1 species